UUCUGCCUAAGUGUAGAACCUGACAUUUCUCCCUAUUGACAUUCAUUUUGUUAGCGUGCACCCAGUUCUCCAAUCUGUUAAGAUCAUUUUGAAUUCCGAUUCUGUCUUCUGCAGCAUUGGCUACUCCUCCCAGUUUUGACCUUGACAGAUUAGAGAACUGGGCCAAAACAAAUAAGAUGAAUUUUAACAGGGAGAAAUGUAAAGUAUUGCACUUGGGCAAAAA